rnacentral:rRNA from 1 species
GAUGAACGCUAGCGGCAGGCCUAACACAUGCAAGUCGAGGGAGAAGCCCUUCGGGGCGGAAACCGGCGCACGGGUGCGUAACGCGUAUGCAACCUACCUUUCACAGGGGGAUAGCCCGAAGAAAUUUGGAUUAAUACCCCAUAAUAUUGUUGGAUGGCAUCAUUUGGCAAUUAAAACUGAGGUGGUGAAAGAUGGGCAUGCGUCCUAUUAGCUAGUUGGAGUGGUAACGGCACCCCAAGGCUACGAUAGGUAGGGGUCCUGAGAGGGAGAUCCCCCACACUGGUACUGAGACAGGGACCAGACUCCUACGGGAGGCAGCAGUGAGGAAUAUUGGUCAAUGGUCGGAAGACUGAACCAGCCAUGCCGCGUGCAGGAAGAAUGCCUUAUGGGUUGUAAACUGCUUUUAUAUGGGAAGAAUAAGGUGUACGUGUACAUUGANGACGGUNCCA